rnacentral:sRNA from 1 species
AAAGAACACCACCUUGGGGAACGCCCGC